rnacentral:tRNA from 1 species
GGCGAAGUAGCUCAGUUGGUUAGAGCAGCGGAAUCAUAAUCCGAAGGUCGUAGGUUCAAAUCCUACCUUC